CCAACGGUCCUUCGGUUGGAGUGUUGGCGUGUGGUCCAGCCUGUCGGUUGUAUCAACAUGGAGGAAACUGGGACAUUGCCUGCUGAUUUCUGCCAUCUUCUUAUUCAUGAGGAAUGGAAAAUCGUAAUACCCCCUAAUGACAGGAAUCAGUGGGCAGAUAUGAAUUGUGGGUGUCCAAAGGUCUAUAGCUACAGCGGAUCAGCAGCAUGACUACAGAAUUACCUUUCUGAUGAUGGGAAGCCUGGGCCUCUCAGGCUGCAAGAGGAGUGAAUGAAGAGCCCCAAGUCUGAUGGAUCUGAGACAAAUGGAGUGAAGAGGAGAAUGAGAUACCCUAGAGGGGAUUAUGGUCGACAUGUCUUUACCUUUUGUGGAUCUGCAUUAUCUAAUGAACAAAUCUUACACCAGCAGUCGUGGUCUGAACAGUCCAGGUAUGGCUGGUUAACUUGGCAGCAUAUUCUGCAAAGCACACUUUUCACCCAACCUCAACAGCCUGCUCACCUCUCCCUUGCACAUCAUUCUGCUUACCUGUCCCAUCCUUUGCUCCCAGCCCUCAAAAACAUCCUCCCAUACAGCUUACAACAGCCCCCACCCCCAUCUUUGCCUGUCCUCAUUCAUGGUACUGAAGUGAGAACACAGAAGAGAGAAACAUAACAAAGUUAUUUUGUCCAAGUUUUUUCUUAAGUCAGUAGCCUAGAAUGCUAGGAUGUGGAGACCGUGCCUGACACUAAGAAAACGAAGAUCUUGGGAGAAGGGAAACUUCAAACAUGAAGUCAAGUCCAGGACUAUUUAAGACCAUGGCAUUCAGUGAUACAAAGUACCUAGGCAUCCCAGAUGGGCUCUAGCUCUGAAGCAAAUUAGCCAUGCAAAUGGCCUUGGAUAAGUCACUUCCAGAGUGACUGGCAAACACCACCUUAGUAUUUUGAUUCUUACAACUCUGAGAUUAUGUUACUCUAUCCUGUUUACAAAUUACACCAUUUCUGUAACAUCACAUAGCUAGCAUGACAGAUGAGCCUUUCCAAGUUUUUCCCCAAUGCCCUCUGCUGUAUUGUUGCCUGAACACUUCCAUCUCUCUCCAGUCUCCUUACUAGUAAAACCAUUUCUGCUCAGCCUGGCAAUCAGCUUGUUAGGUCAUUUUCAGGCUCCCUGCAGCUACAGCAACUUAUCAGAAAAGCUACUGUUGAGACACAAAGGAAGCACCAGACUGUGCUGCUGCAAAGACUAUUCAGUUUUGGUUUGAUGGUUGACAUGUGCCGUUUACCCUUAUAUCUUCAUGCCUUGUACAAAGGGUGUUGGCCAUUAUUACCGCAGUUGCACUCUUAACAAGAGUGGCCUUGAGGAUGGAAAUUAUGUGCCAGAGAUAGAAGAGGAACUAUGGACUUUUAAGUUCCAUACCAAUACUGCACCAUCUCCAUGCUUCUUUAAAAUGGUUCUUCCAGCGUCAACAGCAGUUCAAUGUAGUCACUCCACCCCAGGCUAUUUUAGGAAAAAUAGCUUUUACGUCAGAAGUUUUCAAGCCAAGUAGGCUCUGAGAAUUCCAAGGAGUUAGAACACGGCAGAGAUUUUCCUCAGUUCACCUCCCUGACCUUCCCUUAAGACCUUAACAAGUAGAAGGCACAACAGGAAAACAAAAUGGAAGCAGCAAUGCCACUUCGAUGGCAUUGGGGGCUGAGGGCUGCCUGGUGCAAUCCAAAUAUUUUUAAUGAGGAGAUUUAUAAUACUUUAAUGAACGGAAAUAGGGAAAAUUUGUAACUCAUUAAAA